GACGAACGCUGGCGGCGUGCUUAACACAUGCAAGUCGAACGAAGUGGCGAACGGGUGAGUAAUACGUGAGUAACCUGCCCUCCUUUUGGGGAUAAGCCUUGAAAACGGGGUCUAAUACCGAAUAAAGGGGGAUGGGCUCGCGGCCUAUCAGCUUGUUGGGGGGGUGAUGGCCUACCAAGGCGGUGCCGGGUAGCCGGCAUGAGGGGGUGCCCGUCGAAAUGAGGACGGAGAUACGGCCCCGCGUGAGACAGGAGGCAGCAGUGGUGGAGAAUUCACGAUGGGCGAAUGCCUGAUGGAGCUGCGCCGGGUGUGGGAUGAAGGCUUUCGGGUUGAAAACCUCUUUCGGUAUCGAACGGGUAGGUGGAGAAGAAGCGCCGGCUAACUACGUGCCAGCAGCCGCGGUAAUAC
rnacentral:rRNA from 1 species